CCGGGGCGGGGCUAAGGGUAGGGGUGGCCCCUCGGUGGCAGCUCCGUGCGCCGCCCGGCCUGUCGCCCACACCGCGCGGUGCGCUCCGUCUGCGUGUUCGUCCACCUGGGCGCCCCUCUGCGGCCGAGUCCCAGCCCCGCACUCCGGGACCUGCCCGUGCUCCUCGCCUCCGCGGCCCCUUCGGCGGGGGAACCAGUACAGAGGACCCUCGCCCAGCGAAAAGCCCUCCCAGGCCUCGCGGAUAAGCGCCGGGCGGCGAGAGUGCCCCGGGGGUCCCGCUGACCCAGCGCAGCACAGGGCAGCCGCCGGCCCCGCUCUCGUCCUCGGGACCACCCCACCACCAGCACCACGUGCGCAGCGGGUCCAGCCCCAAGGUUUCCUGGAUGUCCCCGAGUCCUCGCCUGCGCCUGGCGAUCAGUGCCUCUGCCAGGCCCAGAGGUGGCUGGAAGAGGCUGCUCCCUAGCAGAAGACGUCAUUCCGAUGUGGUGUGCCCAGAAGAUGCAGAGGGUGAGGAGAGCGGCUCAGGAACUCAUGCUACCUGGCAGCCCUGGCCGCGGGCGUGUCCCUGGUUUCCCGGUGGUUCCCCAACCUCCGGAAAGGAGAGAACCAGUCCCCCGGCCCCUCCCGCCCACCAGGAUUCCGUCUGUAAGACGGAAGCCAGGAGAUGGCCAGGAAGGACAACCUGAACGCAGGCAAGUGGAGUGUCUUGACCCAGUAACAGACAUCAGAGGCCACCCAUCCAGGCGGAAAGCCAUCUCCAGUGGAGGGCCGAUCAGGGGCCAUCUGCGAGGGCAGGUUGCUCCUUCUGUCCGAGGCGGGCUUGGAAAGGUCUGUGCAGGACGGUGCCAAGGCCUGGCCAGGGUUUGGAGCCAUUCAGAGCGCAGGCCCCUAACGGGUCACUGGGCCAAGGUGCUUGCGGGCUUGUGGCCUGAAGACCUUUGUCCUGGGACCGACACCAGCCUGGUGUCCUGGUGGCAUACCACUUGGGGACCCUUCUUCUUCUGGCUCAGAGGGAGCAAAGGCUGCGUGCGUUAGAACAACAGAACGACGAGAAGUGGGAAGACCUGUCCGUGGACAUCCAACUUAUGGAGGAAGGCACGCCGGACUCCGAGGGGAAGCUGGAAUUGACCAAAACAGCUCUUAACACUUUCGGGGAAAUUAGUGAAAUCUGUCUAAGGGAGUGUCUGAGCUGAAGGAGUCCCUGAAACUGUGUGCAGAAGAAAUCAAAGCUGGAAAACCUGCUUGUCAUCUUGGAAGGACACGCUUUAAAGAACUUGCCAGAGGACCAGGGCUCCCUGGACGUGGCCUGAGAUGAGGGCAGGGAGAGGGGACACCAAGGCUCCAGGUGCACCUCCUCCUGGGCGGUGGGCCCCUCAGCUCCUGGGCCUGUGGCUGGAGCUCAGGGAUUUUUCUCAAGAACUGAAGCUUCAGGAACCCUCUGUGUCAUGUUGGAUGUAUCCUAGAGUGGAGUCAUUUUAAGAAAACUGACUGCCUGGAAAGUGGUCCCCAGGGAGUGAACGCUCUGGACAGCUGAGCCUCAGGGAGCCGUUGGAAGCACUUCUUGCCAGAAGUCGAGUCCGUCCUGGACGCGGGGGAAGCGGUGUCUUUUCCAGGAGGAGCGCUGCCUCCCAGCCGCGCCUGCGACUUCCCUGCUGUCCUGAGGCGCUGGCCUUGGAAGGACGCCCAACAGCCUCCCGUGGAAGGACAACCGCCCGGGCGCCCUCUGCUGCCUCCAGAUGUGAGCACGUGAUCCCUGGCUGCUGUGCUGGGCUUUCCAGAUGCAUCAUCAGCGCCCGUGUCAGCGGGGACCCGGGGCUACCCUGCCUCCUGAGGACGCGGGUGGGAGGCCCAGGCCCCCUGCAAGGGCACAGGCGUCUCUCCCGCUCGGGGUGCCCACGCCUGCGCUCCACACUGCAGCCCUGCCUCUCAGGGGACUCCCAUCUGCAAGAAAAAUGUCUCAACACGUCUCCUCCUGUCCCACGUCCCUCCAGCUGUCACCACAGUUAGUCUCCUCUCCUCUGUGCCCAAACUUUGUGAAAGAUGUGUCACUUUGCAUCACUCUCCCAGCCACCCUCUGCGGCUGGCUCCACACCCGGGGUUCCCCACAGCCCGGCCUCCUGGGCUCCUGCCGAGUGCCCACUGUCAGCCACUCACCUCCACCCGGUGCUACACACAAUGCAAGUCCAGUGUGUCCAGGAUCAAACUCGCUUUCUCCUCCCACCUGCUCAUCCACCUGGCCCCCUGCUGGCCUCCUGGGUGACCAUGCCCCUCAGCCCCACACCCAACCUGCAUCUCCUCCUGCCCAGUCCACUCCCACCUGAUUGGGCAACGACCAUCUUAUGCCUCGAUCACUCCACCAGCCUAUUACACACAUUUGAUAUUUUGAUUGCGUUUCCUAUUAAUGUAAAACAAAGUUAAUAGAACUCAGAAAUUACAGAAAUGCACAAGUUAGAAGGGAAAAAAUCACCAAAAUCUCUCCCACAGAUAAACUUUUUUUCUUGUACCCAA
rnacentral:lncRNA from 1 species